GUGCCAGCAGCCGUCGGUAAUUCCAGCUCCAAUAGCGUAUAUUAAAGUUGUUGUGGUUAAAAAGCUCGUAGUUGAACCUUGGGCCUGGCUGGCCGGUCCGCCUCACCGCGUGCACUGGUCCGGCCGGGCCUUUCCCUCUGUGGAACCCCAUACCCUUCACUGGGCGUGGCGGGGAAACAGGACAUUUACUUUGAAAAAAUUAGAGUGCUCCAGGCAGGCCUAUGCUCGAAUACAUUAGCAUGGAAUAAUAAAAUAGGACGCGCGGUUCUAUUUUGUUGGUUUAUAGGACCGCCGUAAUGAUUAAUAGGGACAGUCGGGGGCAUCAGUAUUCAACUGUCAGAGGUGAAAUUCUUGGAUCGGUUGAAGACUAACUACUGCGAAAGCAUUUGCCAAGGAUGUUUUCAUUAAUCAGGAACGAAAGUUAGGGGAUCGAAGACGAUCAGAUACCGUCGUAGUCUUAACCAUAAACUAUGCCGACUAGGGAUCGGACGGUGUUAUUCAUGACCCGUUCGGCACCUUACGAGAAAUCAAAGUGCUUGGGCUCCAGGGGGAGUAUGGGUCGCAAGGCUGAAACUUUAAAGAAAUUGACGGAAGGGCACCACCAGGGGUGGAGCCUGCGGCUUUAAUUUGACUCAACACGGGGAAAACUCACCAGGUCCAGACACAAUAAGGAUUGACAGAUUGAGAGCUCUUUCAUGAUUUUGUGGGUGGUGGUGCAUGGCCGUUCUUACUGGGGGGGGUGACUAUGUCUGCUUUAUUUGCGAUAACGAACGAGAACCUUAAACCUGCUAAAGAAAGCCCCGCCAUUGCUCCGCGCAGUGCCGCUGGGCUUCUUUAGAG
rnacentral:rRNA from 1 species